rnacentral:snoRNA from 1 species
AAGAUAUGUUUACAACAUACCCAACAAGAAUCUGGGGUUACCAUGAUGAGGGUACAAAACUUGUAGCCUAAAAAAAAAAAAUUGUGGCCUCCCUACAAAUAAAUGCCCUACAUAU